GACGAACGCCGGCGGCGUGCUUAACACAUGCAAGUCGAACGGUGAAGCGCCUUCCUUUUUGGUGGGUGUGGAUGAGUGGCGAACGGGUGAGUAACACGUGAGUAACCUGCCCCCUUCUUCUGGAUAACCGCAUGAAAGUGUGGCUAAUACGGGAUAUUCUGGGUCUGUCGCAUGAUGGCUCUGGGAAAGAUAUUGUUUCGGUGGGGGAUGGGCUCGCGGCCUAUCAGCUUGUUGGUGGGGUGAUGGCCUACCAAGGCGGUGACGGGUAGCCGGCCUGAGAGGGUGGACGGUCACACUGGGACUGAGACACGGCCCAGACUCCUACGGGAGGCAGCAGUGGGGAAUAUUGCACGAUGGGCGCAAGCCUGAUGCAGCGACGCCGCGUGAGGGAUGGAGGCCUUCGGGUUGUGAACCUCUUUCGCCAGUGAAGCAGGCCUGCCUCGUUUGUGGGUGGGUUGACGGUAGCUGGAUAAGAAGCGCCGGCUAACUACGUG
rnacentral:rRNA from 1 species